CUUAGGAUGAACGCUAGCGGCAGGCUUAACACAUGCAAGUCGAGGGGCAGCGGGAUGUAGCAAUACAUUGCCGGCGACCGGCGGAUGGGUGCGUAACGCGUAUGCAACCUACCUUAUACAGGGGAAUAACCUUUCGAAAGGGAGACUAACACCCCAUAGUAUUGAUUUAAGGCAUCUUAGAUUAAUUAAAUAUUUAUAGGUAUAAGAUGGGCAUGCGUAUGAUUAGCUAGUUGGUAAGGUAACGGCUUACCAAGGCGACGAUCAUUAGGGGUUCUGAGAGGAACGGUCCCCCACACUGGUACUGAGACACGGACCAGACUCCUACGGGAGGCAGCAGUGAGGAAUAUUGGUCAAUGGGCGCAAGCCUGAACCAGCCAUGCCGCGUGCAGGAAGGAACCGGCCUUAGUGGGUUAGUAAACUGUCUUUUACAUAAGACUAACCGUAUAUUUGCGAAUAUACCUGAAUGUAUUAUGAGAAUAAGGAUCGGCUAACUCCGUGCCAGCAGCAGC
rnacentral:rRNA from 1 species